AGUGAACGCUGGCGGUAGGCCUAACACAUGCAAGUCGAACGGCAGCACAGUAAGAGCUUGCUCUUACGGGUGGCGAGUGGCGGACGGGUGAGGAAUACAUCGGAAUCUACUUUUUCGUGGGGGAUAACGUAGGGAAACUUACGCUAAUACCGCAUACGACCUACGGGUGAAAGCAGGGGAUCUUCGGACCUUGCGCGAUUGAAUGAGCCGAUGUCGGAUUAGCUAGUUGGCGGGGUAAAGGCCCACCAAGGCGACGAUCCGUAGCUGGUCUGAGAGGAUGAUCAGCCACACUGGAACUGAGACACGGUCCAGACUCCUACGGGAGGCAGCAGUGGGGAAUAUUGGACAAUGGGCGCAAGCCUGAUCCAGCCAUACUGCGUGGGUGAAGAAGGCCUUCGGGUUGUAAAGCCCUUUUGUUGGGAAAGAAAAGCAGCAGGUUAAUACCCCGCUGUUCUGACGGUACCCAAAGAAUAAGCAUCGGCUAACUUCGUG
rnacentral:rRNA from 1 species